GCGCGCGCACACACACACACGCUCGCGCUCGCGUGCCCCCGUUAAACAGCCUCUGUUUCCACAAGUUAGCAAAGCAAAACCCAGGAGCAGAAGCCUCCACAGACUACGACACAGCCUGGAUCAUGAGCCAGUGGUUGGCAAAGCAGAGGAGAAAGGAAGCCAACCCUCAUCCACCAUGAGCUCACACACCGAGACAGCCCACAGGUGUGGUGAGAGGUCACUGCCACGGUCAAGUUUGUCUGUUUGUUUGGACUGUAGUUUGUACAGCUAAAACACGGACAACUCACAGAUCCUGGGAUGGACCAGGAAGGCCAUUCGGUGAGAUUUUUGUUCAGCUGGGCGUGGUGACCAUAAACACAGCAUUAUGGUUAGUGUCUUACAUACAUUAUCGGCUCGAUUACUCCUCAUGGCAUCCUUGAGGGAUCAGCUUUCUUAAGUCCCUCUUGAGAGUUGGGGCAGCUGAACGCUGGAGACUUGAGAAUCUCAACUACGUUUUGCAGCUAAUAAAUGGGAAGUUGGAAUUUGAAUCCAUGUUUCGUAUUCCCGAGUCUAAUGGUGAAGCAACAGUUUCUUCCAUGGUGAGUCCUUAUUCCAUUCUUGACCAAACCUGGCCCAACUUCAGGCCGGGUCCAGCCCCCCCAGAGCCGUGUAGUUUCUGCGCAUGCGCAGACAGAUGGCGCCUUGCCUGUUCACUGUGUCUCAGGAGCCGAGUUGCUGCACCACCCUCGAUGAUGGGGAGCUCUUCUCUGGAUCCCCUUCAGAACUGUCUGAUGAAUCCCUGCACAUCAGUUACCUCCUUCAGUGGGGGCAGCUGCGCUUCGGAAGGCAGAUAGGAUCUUUGGAACCACCUCACCGUAGUUUGAAAUCUGGUGCGAACACCAGUGACCAAACUUAGAGGACCCGAAAAAGGAACCAUUUUUGGUCAAAAGAAACAGGGAACACUGCAGCCAGAUGAGGUUGACUUUCUUCUGUGGCUGAAAAUCUGGAUCUAGAUGUAAUUCCAACUGGGAAAGUCCUGCUGGAAGAAAGUACAUGUUCAAAAAACAGGUGUAUUCCCUAUGCCCUUCAUGUAAAACUCAGUCCAUCCUCACCAUGCUUCAUGCAACCAGAUCAAGAAAGAGACGGUGUCUUCUUCUUCUUUAUAUUUAUAUAUUUAUUCCCUUUUGCACAAAGUGUGUGACUUGGUGCCUUGCACAUAAACAAUAGAAUAAUUCAGCUUUCUUCAGAAUGCUAGAAAAUUCCCUGCCUUGGAGGAACUUGCUAUCAAAGCCAAGCUCAUAUACGACAAUUGGAAGGCUGCAGUGAAGACCAGCGUGGUCCCAGGGCAAGGACGACAUCUGUGAAGUGUCUUAGGGUUUGGCUGGGACAGGUGCACUUGAACUCCCCGCAGCAGUGGUUGCCUGCACAAGAUCACAGCAGCCAACAUUCCAGCAUGGUGGGGGAGGCACUCGUGAGCUUCCAGCCCUAACUAAGGCACCGUGGACAAAGGAUGGCGUGUGGGGGAGGCAGUGCCAGUUUUCUUUAAGGGCGUGGCCUCUGGGAGGCUGACCAUGCUUCGUUGGAUGGCCCCACAUCUGUGAUAUGUGGGUAGCACACAUUGGACUCCGUGGAUGGUUUAAACAGUAAAGAGGUCAUAAAUUUGGGAGGGGUGACUAGAAGUUAGGUGCAGGAGUGAGGGGAAUAUGAUUAAG